GAAUGGGGCCGCUGUCUGGUUCACAGAUCCCAGGAAGGGCUUGGCGGUUCUGUUCAUGGGGAUCAUCCUCUGGGGCCCUGCUGUCUCAGACACUCCACUGAAGCCAUUCUGUUGUGGCACACUGCCAAGACUGCGUCCCAUCUGGAAGGAGCUCUCACUCACAGAGCUCUGCAUUCUCACCGAUUCUUCUUUUCUUUGAUAAGAAGUCAUGGUUCUCAGACCGUCCGUCUGUAGGGCAUCUGAUCCUCCGCCUGCUAGCCCACCGGUCUUUUCCUCUUCAUUUUGGGCUGUGAACUGUUCCAUCCUCUCUCUCCUCUUGGCAAACAUGAGCGCUCCCUUGCCUGUGGUGUCGGGCAACAUCUCCAUCUUGUCGCCUCGGUUCAGCCUCUUUUCAAUGUCCACCAGUCCAGAAUCCCAAUCGAAGUUCACAACUUGGGUGUUGUCGUCCACGUCAGACAGUAACUCUUCAUCCACUUCCGACUCGCUGGUUCCAAGAAAUGCAAGGUCACUUAUCUCGUCCUUGUCACCUGCUUCCUGGUCCUCCUCUUCCUCCUCUCGCUCAAGCUCUCCAGUACCGUAACUGACUAGGGUGUACUUCCGGGCUCUCCGCCUCCGCUUCUUAAACAUCAACACCCCCUUGGAGUUCGGGUUGGGAGCAUCCGUUAGGAGGAGGGCGAUGCUUUUGCAUUUAGACUUGGCUUCUUUUACUUGCUUUUCAGACAGACUUUCACUCCUCCUGAGCCCUAGGAAAGGAACACAAAGUGUACUGAAUUGAUGAAUGCAAGGAAAAAAAUGUAGAGAAAUUGGUUCCCAAUGGGAAAAAUGAAUAAUAAAUAUGUAAGGACAUAUUAUAAUUGGAUACUG
rnacentral:lncRNA from 1 species